rnacentral:rRNA from 1 species
CAGCCGCCGCGGUAAUACGUAGGUGGCAAGCGUUGUCCGGAAUUAUUGGGCGUAAAGGGCUCGCAGGCGGUUUCUUAAGUCUGAUGUGAAAGCCCCCGGCUCAACCGGGGAGGGUCAUUGGAAACUGGGAAACUUGAGUGCAGAAGAGGAGAGUGGAAUUCCACGUGUAGCGGUGAAAUGCGUAGAGAUGUGGAGGAACACCAGUGGCGAAGGCGACUCUCUGGUCUGUAACUGACGCUGAGGAGCGAAAGCGUGGGGAGCGAACAGGAUUAGAUACCCGAGUAGUACCUGUCUCUUAUAC